rnacentral:rRNA from 1 species
GGGUCAGUAGGUUGGUCGUGCCACCGGUACGUACUGGUCUCACUGAUUCCUCCUUCCUGAAGAACCGUAAUGCCAUUAAUUUGAUGUUGCGGGGAAACAGGACUGUUACUUUGAAAAAAUUAGAGUGUUUAAAGCAAGCUAACGCUUGAAUACAUUAGCAUGGAAUAAUGAAAUAGGGCGAUCGAUCCUAUUUUGUUGGUUUCUAGGAUUGACGUA